rnacentral:lncRNA from 1 species
AAACUAAACUAAAAAGCCUUUGCUGAACAGCCGGCUGGACAAUUUCCAAGAUGCUCUUAAUGAUCAGCUGAAACAAGAACAUCCUGUUGAGUGCCGAACCAGCUGGGCAAUUUCCCCCCUGAUUUGGCAGCCUGAGCUGUCCUCUCAAAAGCCUGCAGAGCUAGUGGUUCCAGCACAGGACCCAGGAGCAUAAUACAUCCAGACCAUAGUCAAUGGUAUCACCCAUUCACUUACAUUGCAAACUUUCUCCUGGAGAUAAAAACAAACAAACAAAACAAAACAAACAAACAAAAAACUAUAAGGUGCUAAAGCUAAGUCUUUCUUGCUGGUUUUCUUAGUGUGGAUGUGAUCUCUGCUUCAACUCCCCUCAGUUAACUGAGGAGGGAAGCUACCUGCACCUUGAAGAUGUAACAGCAGACUGUCAGCACCAUAGAAACAAAACCUGGUGCUGAGAAUCAAGCUCCAGAACGAACUCGUGUUCAUUCUGACAUGCUGAAGCCGCAGUCACGUUUCCAUUCAUUCCGUUGCUUUUUAAUUUCCAUCAUAUGCUCCCCAGUAACAUGGAGGACGUGUGCCCUCUGGUAGGUCUGAUCGAUGCAAUCGAUGUGAACCAAAUGCCUGUUGCAGCCCAAACGCUCUAGAGGGCACCCUGCUCUCAGAGCACCUCUGCCUGAGCGCUGUCUGGCCAGCAAGCUCCUCGUGUAGCGUCGCCCUUCCUCGAGACUGGGGAGAUUCCCCACGCCAGAAUCCUUCCUCCUGAAAGAUUUCAGCUCCCCAUGGGCAAUCUAAAUGGAUCGUACUACAGCAAAAACUUCCUGAGUUGCAGCCAGCAGGAAACAGUGAAUGUGAAGCUUGUUUUCCAGCUGUGCAAAACACAUAGUUGUCAUCAGUUUCUUUUCUCUUUCUGGGUUGGAAUGAUGAGAGGAAAGACGUGUGGUCAUCACACGUACAAGCACACAUGCAGGUAACUGUCUGAGAUGAGUGUUUGUUAUACUCCUGCCGGCUGAGCUGUUGUUUUGACUUUCCAAGUCACAAUACUCCCACAUAAAGCAGAAUUGGCAGAGAAAUCUUAUUGCAAAGUCAGCCUGGGGAAUGCCACAAAGAACUGCAUGAGCACUUCAAUCAUCUUCCUCAGUAUGAAAUAAGAUGAUGUUAUCUUGGAAGCAGUUUAAGCCAAGAGCAGAGCUGUGUGCGCAGCUUAUACGGUGCAGUGAAGUGAUCUGUCCAAAGCACAGUGGUCAUGGGGGGCUGUCCCCAGUGUUGGCACAGUCAGAUCAUUGGAAGUGAUAGAGGGGGAGGAAGAUGCAGCUGAUGGAUGCAGAGGAUGCUGUUGCUUAGCCCAGCCCUGCUCCAGCACUGGGCAAGUGCCCCCAAACCCAGUGACUUUCCAUGAAUGUAGAGAGCUCUCUGCAGCAGUAACAGCUUGUACCAGGGCAAAGAUGCACUGAAACUGUACAUGCCAGACUGUCCCCAGCACAAUUGCAUAAUGACAGUCAGAUACUUCCGUUGUGUUACCAGGGAAGAUGUGUUCUGCUUUUCUUUCCACCCUUUGAAAUGUUCAGAAAUUGCAUGCACUCUUUAAAAGAACACCUGCAUGCCACUCUGAGGGAGGUGCUUACAGAGGAGUGUAUGAAAUGAAAGCACUGUGAGUCUGUACUGAAGCAAGAGGAAUGUGGCACAGAAAUAAAAAUACUAAAAUAAUAAAAAUUAACA